GUGGUUUCUGGAGUACAACUUGUAUAUUGUUAAAAUUUUGAUUUUUAAUUUUAACUUAAAUUUAACCUAUAUUAAUUUUAACCUAUAUUGAAAUGUAUUUGGCAAAAAGGAAAUUGCAUGGCCAACGGUUUAGUAGGUUUCAUCACAUGCAGCAUGAAAUUUAUAGUUUUCUAUACAGAGUCCCAUAGUAUACAGCUAAUUCAAAAAAGGUUGUCCUUUGCAAACCAUAAAUUCUAAACCUUAAACCUUAAACUUUAAGCGUGCAAAGCAUAAUGGGAGCAUCAUUUAAUCAGUUCAGAAAUCAUAUACGAGGCCCAUUUCCUAGAGACAUGGUAAAUAUCUCCUUGCGAGAACAAUUCAUUCACAAAUAGCUGGAAUAUUCAACUACUAAGCUUGAAACUUGUGCUCCCAUUACGCUUUGCGCGCUUAGAGUAUAAGGUUUAAGGUUUAGAGUUUACGGCUUGCAAAGGAAAACCAUUUUUGAAUUGGCUGUAUAUAAUAUAAUAAUACUCACUUCUUU